ACUGAUACGUUGAACCUGCCUCCACAGCUCUCUUGUUGGCUGGAGUAACUCACUAUGGCUCCUAAAGAUAUAAUGACUAAUUCUCAUGCCAAAUCCAUUCUCAAUGCAAUGAAUUCUCUGCGAAAAAGUAACACGUUAUGUGAUGUGACCCUUCGUGUGGAACAAAAAUACUUUCCAGCCCAUCGGAUUGUGCUAGCUGCUUGCAGUGACUACUUCUGUGCUAUGUUCACCAGUGAGCUUUCUGAGAAGGAUAAGCCCUAUGUAGAUAUCCAAGGUCUAACAGCCUCAACAAUGGAAAUAUUGCUGGACUUUGUAUACACAGAAACUGUUCAUGUCACAGUGGAGAAUGUUCAAGAGUUACUCCCAGCAGCCUGUCUACUUCAGCUAAAAGGAGUAAAGCAGGCUUGCUGUGAAUUCCUGGAAAGCCAACUGGAUCCAUCCAACUGCCUGGGCAUCCGAGAUUUUGCUGAAACACACAAUUGUGUUGACUUAAUGCAGGCAGCGGAAGUUUUCAGCCAGAAGCACUUCCCAGAUGUAGUUCAGCAUGAGGAGUUUAUACUUCUGAAUCAAGAAGAAGUGGAAAAGCUCAUCAAAUGUGAUGAAAUACAGGUUGAUUCUGAAGAGCCUGUUUUUGAGGCAGUUAUCAAUUGGGUGAAGCACUCAAAGAAAGAACGGGAAUCAUCCCUGCCGGAGCUGCUGCAAUAUGUCCGCAUGCCACUUCUCACCCCACGCUACAUCACUGACGUCAUAGACACUGAGCCUUUUAUUAGAUGCAGUUUGCAGUGCAGAGACCUUGUAGAUGAAGCAAAGAAAUUUCAUUUAAGGCCUGAGCUUCGAAGCCAAAUGCAGGGACCUAGAACCAGAGCACGUUUAGGUGCCAAUGAGGUGCUUUUAGUAAUUGGAGGGUUUGGAAGUCAGCAGUCACCUAUUGAUGUGGUGGAGAAAUAUGACCCCAAGACACAGGAGUGGAGCUUCUUACCUAGCAUCAGCCGUAAAAGACGCUAUGUUGCCACAGUGUCAUUGCAUGAUCGGAUAUAUGUAAUCGGUGGUUACGAUGGCCGUUCUCGCCUUAGCUCUGUAGAAUGUUUGGAUUAUACAUCUGAUGAAGACAGUAUCUGGUACUCUGUGGCUCCUAUGAAUGUUCGACGGGGCCUCGCAGGGGCCACUACUUUGGGAGACAUGAUCUAUGUUUCUGGAGGUUUUGAUGGAAGCCGACGUCACACCAGUAUGGAAAGAUAUGAUCCCAACAUUGAUCAGUGGAGCAUGCUGGGAGAUAUGCAGACAGCUCGAGAAGGAGCAGGGCUGGUGGUUGCUAAUAAUGUUAUCUACUGUCUUGGUGGCUAUGAUGGUCUGAACAUCUUAAAUUCUGUGGAGCGAUAUGAUCCUCACACGGGACAUUGGACAAAUGUCACUCCAAUGGCCACCAAACGUUCAGGAGCUGGAGUAGCUUUGUUGAAUGAUCAUAUUUAUGUGGUUGGGGGAUUCGAUGGAACAGCACAUCUGUCUUCUGUAGAAGCUUAUAACAUUCGCACCGACUCCUGGACAACAGUGACCAGCAUGACUACCCCCCGCUGUUAUGUGGGUGCAACAGUUCUGAGGGGAAGGCUUUAUGCCAUAGCAGGGUAUGAUGGGAACUCCCUCCUGAGCAGCAUUGAGUGUUACGACCCUAUCAUUGACAGCUGGGAAGUGGUAACAUCACUGGGGACCCAACGUUGUGAUGCUGGUGUUUGUGUGCUGCGGGAAAAGUGACUCUAGAGAAGAACUGUGCAAGAACAUUUCCAGAGAAGAUAGGACAGAAAGUACCAGCUGACUUGGUGUUACUGAUCUUGCUGUGGAUGCAGUGACUUGCAUUAGGCCUGCGCUGCAUACCAUGCAGCCUAUCUUCAAAGCUACUGAUUCCAGUUCAGAAAUGGACACACAAAAUAAACUACAUAUUGGCACUUUGAGCUGAAAAUUAAGAAAUUACAUUCUCCCCUGAGAAUGAGAUUUCAAAGCAACAAGGACACCUCUGCCUUUUGACCUGCUGAGUGCCUGAGAUUAAGCAGCUCAUCUUGGUUGUUUCUAAAGCAUCAACACACACACACAAGGAGAUCUGCAUACAGGUCCAAGGCUUAGAGUUGCCUGAAUGUUUCCAUGCAGAGAAUAUGCUGCAGCGCAGACGUGCUGAUAAGUGAACAUUGUGUGUUUUUCAGGUUUGUCACUGACUUGCAGAAAGUAUUGGGAAGAGUCAGCCAUAGAUGCUGUCAAAAGCGAAGAGCGUGAUCCUUGGUGUGGAUUGGAACUCUUACAUUUUUGCUCAAGGCCUCUUUCUUUCUGUAGUGCCCUUUAGGAUUCCCUUUCUUCCUGUCUAUUUAAUAACCCUCUGGUGUGUAUGCAGUGUAUUAGAUGUGUGAAAAGAAGUCACAUUGCUAAAACAGACACUUGAGCCUGUGGAUAAUGCCGCUCCACCCCUCGGUGAUGUGCCCUGAACCUUCAGCAUGACCCUAGAGCUCUCCUCCUUGAUCUACUGAGCCUCUUCUGUGUUGCCCAAUCAGGAACCAAGGGGUGAAUGUAUUUAUUUUCUUGGGUGCUGUGGACUCCUGGCUUGGGGGGUGUGGUAGCAUGGGAUUACGAUGCACUUUCAAACAACACUGAGUUUAUAAAGUCUGUCCUAUCACGCCAGUGUUUGUGAUUCAUUUCUUAUGUAUUUUUUAAUAAAAGUAUCUCUGGUGAGUA